CGCAGCCGCGGUAAUUCCAGCUCCAAUAGCGUAUAUUAAAGUUGUUGCAGUUAAAAGCUCGUAGUUGAAUUUCGGGAUUAGUACGUUGGUCGUGCCUUCGGUACGUACUGGUGUUACUGAUUCCUACCUUCUGACGAACCGUCAUGUCAUUAAUUUGAUGUGGCGGGGAAUCAGGACUGUUACUUUGAAAAAAUUAGAGUGUUUAAAGCAGGCUCGCGCUUGAAUACAUUAGCAUGGAAUAAUGAAAUAGGACGUUCGAUCCUAUUUUGUUGGUUUCUAGGAUUGACGUAAUGAUUAAUAGGGAUAGUUGGGGGCAUUAGUAUUCAAUUGUCAGAGGUGAAAUUCUUGGAUUUAUUGAAGACUAACUACUGCGAAAGCAUUUGCCAAGGAUGUUUUCAUUAAUCAAGAACGAAAGUUAGGGAAUCGAAGACGAUCAGAUACCGUCGUAGU
rnacentral:rRNA from 1 species